UACGUAGGGUGUAAGCGUUAAUCGGAAUUACUGGGCGUAAAGCGUGCGCAGGCGGUUUUAUAAGACAGAGGUGAAAUCCCCGGGCUCAACCUGGGAACUGCCUUUGUGACUGUAAGGCUAGAGUGUGUCAGAGGGGGGUAGAAUUCCACGUGUAGCAGUGAAAUGCGUAGAUAUGUGGAGGAAUACCGAUGGCGAAGGCAGCCCCCUGGGAUAACACUGACGCUCAUGCACGAAAGCGUGGGGAGCAAACAGGAUUAGAAACCCCGGUAGU
rnacentral:rRNA from 1 species